UGUCUGAGUUGGUGAAAAUGUGUGGGCCCAGUCAUUUGAAACCCGCAGUUUUGAAGUGCUGCCAUGGCGAGUUAUGAAACUGCCCAUUCUCCUUGGGGCUAUGUUAAAUUUUGUGUUUGGAUUUGGAGGAGAGAGUGAAGCAGGAGACUAGAUAAGUGACGAGGCGCGCUGAUGGUCACCGUGAACCCAGGACCCAAGUGCAAGCAAAUGGCCCAGAUGCUCUGUGAACGCCACCCUUCCUCCUCUCCCCAACCCCCAAACCGAGCCAAACAAACAUAGGAAGAAAAACAGGAUUGUUUUAAAGCCUGAGUUUCCGGAUGAACAUGAAUAGGAUUCAGGUGUGUCUGUGGUUCUGCGGCUUCUCAAGGAGAUCCACAAAAAUUCUUUCCUAUGAGAGUCUCCAAGUUGAGCACCCAAAAGUAAACAUGCUUUUCCAAAGCAUCCUUGCCUUGGCUCCUGGCCAGGGCCCCCCGUAAUUCUCUCACACCAAAGCUCACAGAGAGUCCUAACCUGGCCCUUGGGCUCCUGGUCAUUGCCUCCAGUCGCACUGUCAUCUCUAAGCCAAUGUGUGUAAGCCACACUCAUCCUCCAAGGUCUCCUCAUGCCUGUGAACUAUUUCUCCAUUCUGCCAGGCUUUAAACUUGAAUGCCACAUCUUGUGGGCAGGAGAGAGAAAUGAGCCAUGGAUCGGAAUCCAAAGACCCCAUCAGUUAUGAGAACCUUGGGGAGUUCCCUGGGCUUCAAUUUGACUACCCAUUAAAUGACCAGAUGACAGCAAAGGCUCAUUCUAGCUCUAGCAAUAAAUCAUCCUUGGAGUUAGUAGAGGUUUUCCUUUGUGUUUCCGAUCCCUGUCACAGGCCAGGUGCAAGCAUUCCACUAAGGACUUAGACAACUGCAAUUCCUUCCUUACUGGUCUCUUGACCAGCUGCAAUCCCAUCUGCCAACAGCUGCCAAGUUACUCUUCCUGGAACAUCUCUGCCAUGAUCCAAGGUAGCCCAUGGCUUCCCACUGCCUCCCGUUCCAAACUCUUUGUCUGGCAGUCAAGGACCUCCACACUCAGGCACAUUGCUCCCACCCUGUCCUCUCUGCUCAAGCCGAGCUGGUCUGCCUUGUUUCCUGGACAUUCUUGCUUCACAUCCUCUCCACCUCUACCUGUCCUACCAUCCAUCAAGGUCUAGCUCAAGCCUUCUUCCUGCUGACUGUCCCAGGGUGGGUGACAACUCUGUCUAACUGCCCUCACAUUUAAUACCUGUAUCACAUUGCACUUAGCAUAUACAAGCCUAGAAGUUUUAUCAGCAUAAGUGAAACUGCUAAGCAAUUAUCUAUUCUCAUACUAGACUGGAAAUCUUUUCAGGAAAUCGUCUAUGCCAAUGCCUUGCACAGAAGAUGAUCAACAAAGGCUUGUUGAUUAAAACAUUCAUUUGUUUAACAAACAUUUAUUGAGCACCUCCUAUGGACUGGGCUCUGAGAAUAUAUGAAUGAGACCCAAGUCCUGGGAGCAUACAGUCUGGAGAUGGGAACAGGUAAGCACAGAGAUGAUUAGAGUACAGGGCACUAAGUGCAAUGAGAGCGCUCUGCCCAGGGAGCCAAAGGUUGGAGUUCAAAAGUCGAUCACUAAUCCACAUCCUUGGAGAGAGUGCAGGGGCAUCAGGAAAUACUUCUCAGAGUGAGUUGGCAUCUUGGCCAAGUCUCAAAUUUGGUUAGACAAGUAAAGGGAAAAGGAGUGAUCAAGAUGGGGGAACAGAAUAUGUGAAAGCAUAAAGAUGUGAGAGAAUUGACAGGCCAGCCAGGGAAUUGAAACUAGUUUGUGCAACUAGAGCUCAGAAGGCAAGGAGAGGGGUAGUAAGAGUUGAGACCAGACAAAGGGCCUUAGAUGUCCAGAUCUUAUCCUCAAGGGAAUGGGGAGCAAUUAAUGAAAUAUUGCUGUGGUAACCGAGCUGAGGUGGCAUCAGAGGGGAGCCUGGAAAUGGUGGGAGUUCACCCCACAUCAAUGGCAGAGGAGCUGUUAGAGUCAAGAGUUAUUAAUGAGGCAGGAUCAAUGAGUCUUAGCCAACUUGAUAUGGGGGAAAGAGAAAGAGAGAGGAAGGUUAACUUUGCGGUUUCCGGCUUGGACAGCUAGAAAGGAGGUGGUAAAAUUCACUGAAAUGGGCAACUCAGGGGAGUGAGCAGAUUUGGAGGAGAAGGCAGCACCUGACUCUGGAUUCCAGAUGAAGAAGCAGGAGGAUGUGCAUCUUAGCUUCAUAGAUGUGUCCAGGCUUCAGAAGAGCAGAGCAAUCAACUAGUGAUACAGAUUUCAUAACCCUGACAUCCUCCAGGAGAGAAUACAGAGCAAGAAGAAAGCCAGAGAACAGGUCCCGGGUGAACCCUGAGAUUGAGGGACACGGAGAUGAAGAGGACUCUGUGGAGGAGGCUUCAGAGAGGCCAGAAAGGUAGGCGGUAAAUGGGACUGACCACAGAGAUGGUUCUCCUGAUUAUGCCGUUAACCCCUCCUGGGCAGUCACGGUGGCUCAUAAUCAAGGAGCUACACUAUCACGUCCACUGAACAAAGGAGAAACAAUAGGACGAGGCAGACUAAGUAAGUUGCUCAAGGUCAAAUAGCUAGUGAGUUAGAAGAACCUACUUUAAAUUAGGACCAGCUCCAAAGCCCUAACUUUCUUUCUACACUUCCGCCCACACAUGUCCACCCGCAAAAUUAAUGGCAAAGGCUAGUGUCCAACAAUUUCCCUCAAGCAACACUCUCCCAGCCCUACAUGUGGCAGGAAUCCCGGGGUUCUUACAGGCUUCUUGGGAGGUUAGGUGUCUCCUUUCCAUUCUCUGCGGGAGUAUUUUGUGAGGGGUGCUUGCGAGGGCAUCUUAAUAUAUUGAGCAACCCAGCCUAGUAUUUCCCUUUGCUGUCUACUGCACCUACUGCCUAAAAUUCCACAACGUCUUUUUAUUUUUUUAUUCUUGGUCUGGUGAGUGUAGGUUUUGAGGGGCCUGGGCUAUGGAGACAGGGAAGAUGGUACAUGAAAAUGCCUGUAGAGACCCUCCCUAGCCUACAGAGAUACCUGUACCAUAGGCUGUGUCUAUAACACGGAAGAGGGACAUUCUCUCUCUCCUUAUCAGUUAAUAAUUCUGAACGUUUACUAAAUAAGUGUUGCUAGGCAAUAGGAGCUGCUGGGGUGGGGGUAAUGCUAAGUCAGGAAUAUGGAUUCUUGGGUAAAAAAAUCAACUUAAUUCCAUGGAGUCAGCUGGUAACUAAACAAAAUGGAUUUUGUGCCCCCAGCGUCUCAUCUGGGAUGAGGUGAGCAAUCUCCUACUACUGCCAGGCUUUGCAGAUGCUGCUGGGCACCUGAGCUGCACAUCCAAGAAGUACAUCGAAAGGGAGGCUUCUCCAUAUGGGGAGAGGCAAUGAAGGCCCGAAGAAGGAAGCUGUAACAUUCCUUGAGUCCUCACCAGGCAGCCUGACAUCUGGUCCACACUCGGGGAAAAGAGGCCACAUCCUCACAUGGAGAUCUAUUUUUGCAUUCCGAACUGCUGAUGCUUCCCUCGUACAACUUGCCUCACACACAGGAAGGGGAAGACAACUAAUAUUUAACCAAGUGCCGGCUGCAUGACCCGGGCUGCUUCACGUACAUGGCUCUCAAGAAGACAGUGCCCCACGUUUUGAAUCUGCGAGGAGCUCUCACCAAGCAUGUCUCUGAAAAGCAUGUGGAGGUGGACACUGAAUAAGCACCUCCAACUCCCUCCAUUCAUCCAACUGAUGGCAAAAGGCAGAGCCCAGUACAUCCAUACAUCCAUGCAUGUCUCUUUAUAAAGACUCCUCAGGAUAGUUGCAGCGGGAAAUCUACACAUCAAAGAUGGAAACUUUCUUAACUGUAUGCAUCUCUUUGUUGCACUGGGCAGAUCAGCAAAGGGUGGGCACUAGGAGAAUGAAUCCUGUUCUCGUUGACUUAUAUGGACGGUGCUGUGGGCUUAGCACAGCAGCACUGAAUGUUCCUAAUACCCCUCUAGACUGUCCCUAAAUCUUCCUGGAUCACUGUGUUUACCAUUUCACGGUCCUUCACUUUUACAUCAUAUUGGAGGGAUUUGAGAGUCAUACAAAAGUGCUGAAUUCAUUUUUAAAUUCAAUGCUUCAUGAUUUAUAAGUAAAGCCUGUGUUUUGAAAACCA